rnacentral:rRNA from 1 species
UACGUAGGUGGCAAGCGUUGUCCGGAAUUAUUGGGCGUAAAGCGCGCGCAGGCGGUCCUUUAAGUCUGAUGUGAAAUCUCGCGGCUCAACCGCGAGCGGUCAUUGGAAACUGGGGGACUUGAGUACAGAAGAGGAAAGCGGAAUUCCACGUGUAGCGGUGAAAUGCGUAGAGAUGUGGAGGAACACCAGUGGCGAAGGCGGCUUUCUGGUCUGUAACUGACGCUGAGGCGCGAAAGCGUGGGGAGCGAACAGG